UUUGAAGAUUAAGAGGAGGAAAAAGAUGGAGCUCAUGGUAGCCAUGGCAACUCACGGCCAUGGCUUUCUUGAAGACAUUUCAUGGUGAAAAAUUAGAGCUUGUCUCUAAGGCCUUGGGGAGCCCGAGACGUAGGUUGGGAUUAACUUUAGUUGGGCAAACUUGGAGCGCGUACGAGGUACAGACGCACAGUUUGGUGAUCUACCCAUUUAGGACACCCUCUUCUGCUGUUUGGAGUGCUCUUCUCAUUUCAGAGCACACAUUUUGGUAUAUAUUCGUUCGCUAUGUAUAUAUGUAUUUGUUCAGGGGCACGGCGGGGCCUUUUCCCGCCAUAUGAUUCGGUUUGUCUGUUUAGAGGUCUGUAGACGUAUUUGUGGGUGUGUGUGCCUACUUCUGUACGGAUGUGUUUGCAUGACUCUAUUCGUUAUGGCAGCCUUGUCGGCUCGCACAUGUAUAUGUUGUUCUGUUGGCCCUGUGUGGCCUUUGUUGGUAUUUGCUGUGUACAGGGUUAUUUUGGAUAGUCCGAAAAACAAAGGAAACUCUGCCGAAAUUUUCUUUGAAAAUCUUAUAAAUUUGAAACACCGCCUUGUCGGCUUCUGUUAUAUACCUGGAUGGGUUUGAUAUAAUCUGAGGCAGUGUUUGAUAUUUGUGUCGGUAUAAGUUAUCUGUUUGCCACUCGGAUUUGUGAUUGUGUUCGGGUG